AACGAACGCCGGCGGCGUGCUUAACACAUGCAAGUCGAGCGGUAAGGCUCCUUCGGGAGUACACGAGCGGCGAACGGGUGAGUAACACGUGAGCAAUCUGCCCUUCACUUUGGGAUAACUUCCGGAAACGGAAGCUAAUACCGAAUACGACCACUUCAGGCAUCUGAUGGUGGUGGAAAGUUCCGGCGGUGAAGGAUGAGCCCGCGGCCUAUCAGCUUGUUGGGGAGGUAAUGGCUCACCAAGGCUUCGACGGGUAGCCGGCCUGAGAGGGUGACCGGCCACACUGGGACUGAGACACGGCCCAGACUCCUACGGGAGGCAGCAGUGGGGAAUAUUGGACAAUGGGCGAAAGCCUGAUCCAGCAACGCCGCGUGAGGGAUGACUGCCUUCGGGUUGUAAACCUCUUUCAGCGGGGACGAAGCGAAAGUGACGGUACCCGCAGAAGAAGCACCGGCCAACUACGUGCCAGCAGCCGCGGUAAGAC
rnacentral:rRNA from 1 species